CAGGCAGGCAGCAAGGAAGGAAGGCAGGAGGGAGGCAGGGUGGCCAGCGCUGGCUGCCCUUGUCCACAACGUCUCUGCCCAGCUUUUGACUCCUCAGGCUUAGUAAGGGAGAGAAAACAAUUCCAGCUUCCACUGUGCCCACAAUCAGAAGUUUCAGCCUACAAUCAGAAGCACUGAAAGGAUUAUAGUCAAGGACUGUCGUUUUUUGAUCGUUUCCUUCUUCUGAGCUGCAUAGCCCACACACAUUCUACAAUUCUCCACACCAAACUGGAACUUUUUUUCCAAAUUUCAGGUUCCCCCAAGAAAAAAAUAAAAUUCUCUCUGUAUUCCAAGGUUUCUUCUUGGGGAAAUAUCAGAGAAUGUUCAUAGACUUCUUCUCCACAAAAAGAAAGACAUCGUCCCCACCCCGCAGUCUAUGAAAAUGCCACAGAAGAUGUCAACUACAACCUGCAACCUGUGUUCACUACAACCUGUGUUCAGCCUAUUUUUAAAACUAUUGAAGUCCUGGGUUUGGUCUGGGGAGACUGACUCUAGCCUAAUAUGAAAUUUCAUUAAGACAUGGAUGAGUUCUCCAUCACCCACUUCAAAUUAAUUUGGUAGUGAACUGAAUACCUGGGGGGAAAUGGGAAUGAAUAAGUUAAUUUCCCAAGUCAAUGCAAGGCUUGGACAAGUGUCUCCAUUUCCCACCAGCUCUUCCUACCACCCUUCCAAAGGUGCCCUGUAUCCAUCAGCAGUGGUGGCAAGUUGCCAACAAUGAGCAAGUUCCUUCUGUCCUCCUCCAUUCCCCUAAUUCAUGGCACAUCAAAAGUAACGCAUGGGGUGCAAGCUCACAAGCACUACAGCUCCCAGCAGUCAAUGUACCUCUCUUGCUACGAUGCUAAACAACCAGCACAUCAGGUCAGAAUGAUGUGGAGAAGAGAGGAGUGGAAUGGAAGAGUGAAGAAUGGAGAGGAGUGAAGGGAAAAAAUGACUGGGCACUUUACCUGUGGCACUCACUACUGUGCACUAAAGCAAUGAGGGAAGGGAGAAAAACUUCCCCUCCUAACUCAGCACUCAUUGCUCCAUGCACUGCUGAAAGGAUAAGUUCAGGGUGCAUUUGGGGAGCUAGUGGGAAAGGGGUUUGACUUUUUCUAGUUUCAAGCUUGGAAGUGAGCCUUGGGGGCUUUGGAAGUUUGCUUCUCUUUUGGAGGGGACAUAUCUGAACCCUGAAUGUUAGUUUCUGAAUCUGAGCAGAGAGAUAUUUGCCACAUUUCUAAUUUCAGUCAUCUCCUCCCAGCCUUCACCCACACCAGCUAUCACUUCCACAUAACUUUGGUGUGUAGAGGAAGGGUGCCCUACUGGGAUUCCCUCUCCCCCUGCAGCUGCUAGUGCCAUAUCCCAUGCCACUGCUGAUGAUAACUUGACCCUCAAGAAUGGAUUUGGGGGGAACUCCGAGGGCUGCAGUGAGGAAGAAGAUGUAAGGAAAAUGGCUUGAACUAGCACAGUAGUGCCAGUACCACUCUGAAUGCUACUCAUUGAUAGGUUACUGUCAUAUUUUUAUGGUUCAAUUAUUUUUAUAUUAUUCCUUGGGAAUGUUUUUUUGAUAUCAUAUUCGCUUUGCAUCUAAAAUUAUCUGCUUUGGCUUCUUUUUGGAAGGAAAAGUGGGAUACAAGUAUUAAAAUGAAAAUGAAAUGAAACAGGAUUAUUUGCAGUUCCCUACACAUGUACACAUGACUUCGAAUGACAUAAUACUAAGAAGUGGCCCUAAUAAUAUUGUAUAUCAAUGGCCAACAAAUGCACAUUGAAAAUUCUACUAUUAUAACUGUUCAAAAGCUCUGAAGUGAAAAUUAAUUGAGUGGUUGGUUUGGGUUUUUCCAAAUUCAUAACAAAACAUAAUAGCUUGAAAAGUUGACCUUUCUAACUAAAUAUGUCAUAAAAAUUAAUUUGGUUGACUUGUAGUUUGUUUCACGUACUUUGUUUAAAAUAUAUAAAAGGUUAUGCAUUUGUUUCACUAACCUCAUCCACUACAUAUAUAAAAUUAUUAUAUGGAUAACAUAAAAGCUAAAAUAAAAACAAGGGAUGUUUAAGGGGGGGUUACCUUUAAGGAGUAGGGAGGAUGCUCUUACCCACCCACCCCCACCGUGUUUCCCCCACCAGUGCUGUGAUGAAAAUUGCUGGCAUGGGACAACAGUGUACCUCCUUGCUGCCCCAGUCAGCGUCCUCCCCGAAGUGGUCCUGCAAUUUUCAUCACAGCGCCGGCAGAGGAAACACGGCAGGGAGGUAAGAGCACCCUCCCUGCUCCUUAAAGGUUACCACCACCACCCCGCUGGUUCGGCCGAACGCCAGAUGUUCCAAACCAGUUUGGCGGUCCAUAAAAGGACCACUGAACCAGUUUGUACACCUCCUUAAUAAAAAUGACUGCAGACUGAGUUCUCAUCAUAUAUUAAAAGUGCAAGAGGAAAGUUAAGCCUGUGAAGUCACAAGUAAAAUAUAAUGUGUUGUGAAAAAUGCCUUCUAAAGAUUCACCAUUACACUAUGAGAUGCUUGAUAAUGUAAUGCAAGAUUUUAUAAGAUCAUUUUGAUUUUAUUUUUAAACAACCAAUAGUUCUGUAGAACAGAAAUUAGAAUAAAAAUAAAUCUGCUAGUCUUGUCAUUGGUUCCUGUUAGCUUUACUUCUAAUUCUCACUUACUACCAUUUUCAGUUCUUUAAUUUCAUUCAUUUAACACAACACAGUGACUUCUGUUGUGAAUCCUGGGUUUUAAGCCCAAACAAAGAGUGUUUAUAUUUAAAAAAUUCUGCUCCAGUCAUUUUAUGGACAAUUUUGGCUUUGGUAGGCCAUAUAGAAUAUAGCACUCUGAAGGUUUAAUCUAUCUGAAAAGGUCCCUCUAAGUAUAUUAGCAAUAUCUCAGAUAUGGAAACGUUAUAUAAAAUAUCAGAACAUUUACUCCGUCACGCCAUCUGUGAACUGCAGUCUCCACAACAAAACCUUUCACAUACUGAAAUAAUUAUCUCUCUGAAGUCUGCAGCUGGCAUUUAAAACUUAUUGAUGGCAUGGGUAUCAGUGGCUCAGUAGGCAGCCCUCUUGCCUGAGGCUCACAAGGUCACCAGUUCACAUUCUGCUUAGAGGAAAAGCUGGACAUAUUCCAGGAUUGUGUGUGGGCUGUGCUAGACUCCUAGGGGGCAGUCCUUAAGAAAGUAAGUGAAACCAUGUAUUCUUUCUAGAUAUCAAAGCUCUCGGCCUAAUGGCAGAGGAAGAAAUGGGCAAGGAAGGUACGCUACAUAUGCCUAGAGCAAGUGAGAAAAACAUAACCAAGGUCUUGGAUUCAGUUGUUGCAUCAGAGUAAUUUACUAUCAGCAAUCCUGGACUUCUUGGAACAGGACUUUCACAAUUAGGCACAGGUACAUGUGCACAGAUUUCACUUGUGGACAAAUCAUCACUUGUAGAUACCUUUGCCAACGGGUAGGAAAUUUGGUAAAACACUAUUACAAAUUUUAAUUUGACCUGCUCUGGUGUUAAUGCUCUGAUGCCUGGUUAUUCCAGAUGUCUCCCUCCUCCUCUUCUUUAUAGACAGGUAAAGUUGGAUCUCUUGAAGGAACUGGGGAUCACACUCUAGGCAAAGGUUGGACAGGUGAUCAAUGUACAGCAUGAGAUUUUGCCGUGGCAAUGUGCCUCCAACAGUGACUGGAUCAUCUAGUCAAAAGAAACAAAGCCAACAUAUAACAUUUUGCUUAAGAAAGGAACCACACACGUUAUGCAUCAUGGGAACAAUGAUGUACUCGUAAAACACAGAUUGGUUCUACUUAAGGCACAGUUUCCAUUUCUAAAUGCAAGAAGUAUGUAUGUUUAAUUGAAAGGGCUUCCUUUCUAAUUAUUCCUUUUGAGGACAGUUUCUUUAAAAUGUUGCAUUGUAAUUCACUUCUUCAAACUCGAGAUUACUUGUUACUAUUAAAGAGCAUUAUUAUUUUUUC